rnacentral:rRNA from 1 species
AGCGAACGCUGGCGGCAGGCCUAACACAUGCAAGUCGAACGAAGCCUUCGGGCUUAGUGGCGGACGGGUGAGUAGCACGUGGGAACGUACCUUUUGGUUCGGAAUAACGCAGAGAAAUUUGCGCUAAUACCGAAUGAGCCCUUAGGGGGAAAGAUUUAUCGCCGAAAGAUCGGCCCGCGUUGGAUUAGGUAGUUGGUGUGGUAAAGGCGCACCAAGCCUACGAUCCAUAGCUGGUCUGAGAGGAUGAUCAGCCACACUGGGACUGAGACACGGCCCAGACUCCUACGGGAGGCAGCAGUGGGGAAUCUUGCGCAAUGGGCGAAAGCCUGACGCAGCCAUGCCGCGUGAAUGAUGAAGGUCUUAGGAUUGUAAAAUUCUUUUACCAGGGACGAUAAUGACGAUACCUGGAGAAAAAGCCCCGGCUAACUUCGUGCCAGCCGCCGCCGUAAGAC